UGUAGACUUGCACAUGUGUAAUUAUUUAAGUUUUUUCUGUACUUCUUCAAUUUUAAGACAUACCCUACCCCAAUAUUUUUAGCAUUUUAAAAUGCAUGAUGUGUCUUCUAACUGAAAAGAAUCAUUUUAUGUGAUUGUUUUUUUUUGUUUUUUGAUCAUGGAGAAAUUAUUGAGAUGAUAGUAUCCCUUAUGACUGAGGACAUCUUGCAAUUUGCUUGGAAUCCCCUUGGGAAUGUGAUUAGGUUAAAUGUCACAAAUUUUAAAAUGUUAAAAAUGGAACCAGUAAUGAAUUACAACAUUAUUGGCCUCAGUGACAGAUACCACAUAUCAAUCAAAAUGAACUAUGGGAAGCUGUGUUCGUCUGGUGGCACUGCUUAACAGAGGCAGAGUUUUUCAAGCCCUUUAGUACGUGGUGGAGGUAUGCGGGAGAGGUUGCAGCUGGGCUCAUAAACGCUGCCCUCCGGAGUGCGCGCUGCAGGUUUAGGUGUGCUGAUCGAUCUCCUAUCUGGAGUCCACGGCCUCUGUACCCGUCCAGCACGUUCUUUCUGCCCUCUUCGACUGUUUUCUCGCCCCUUACCCAAAUGAACGCAGAAUGCCAUUCAGCAGACAGUGCUCGGUGUCACAGGGCCGACCCCAAUCUGCCUCAGAAGAUAUACCAUCCAGGUAAUCCGGCUC